rnacentral:lncRNA from 1 species
GGCUUUUAAUGAGUUGAUGUGAAAAGCUGCACGCACAUUAGACAGAUGCUGGCAAGGAUAUGGAGAAAGAGGAACACUCCUCCAUUGUUAGUGGGAUUGCAAGCUUGUACAACCACUCUGGAAAUCAGUGAAGCAGUUCCUCAGAAAACUGGACAUAGUACUACCGGAGUAUCCCACAAUACCUCUCCUGGGCAUAUAUCCAGAAGAUGUUCCAACCGCUUUCCUGUUUCCAGGGACACAUGUUUUUGUUUGGCUCCAUAGUGAAGCACCCUGACUUCUCCAGGACAGCCACAUCACAAAGGAUGGAGGCCAAUAAGAGCUGACACAAGGCUCAUCCCAGCCUUUGAGACAUGCUGUACUCUUGGAACUUUCUCGACAAAAGAAAACAUGCAUAAGACUCCUCACCUCUCUGCUUCUGCCCAUAAAACUUUCCUCUGAUUCAAAGGAAUCCAGCCAUCUCUCGUUAACUCACUCAGCCUUGAUUCAUUUAAUCACUCUAAAGCUCUGCUAAGUACUUGUUAUGUGCUGUGAAUGAAACUGUUGCUAAGUACAAGCAAAUAAACAUUGCCACUUUCCUAAUGUGGUAUCUAACAGGCACAGGGUAGUGAAAUGAGCCCUAUGGAAGAGCUGUGGGCAGGGCAACCUAAAGGAGGUUGACAACUUAAUGGCAAGUAGGAGAGCAUUUUUGAGAGAGAGUGUACUUAAAUUACCAUUCAAAUGUAAGAAAACUUAGACUGCAAAAGUGGGAAGGAAGGUCUUUGGGAGAGAAGAGUAAGAUUCUGAAGAUCUUGAGAUACAAAGAAAAAAAAUGAAACAUUUAGGAUAAUGGCUAGCAGAAAAUUUGAAAGUCAGGAGAGUGAAAGCUUCAGUUUUGCAGUCAAUCUUAAAUAUGAAUCUGAAUGUAUAUUUCCCUUCCUGGAAACUUUUCACUAGCUUCCAAACACUUAUGGAAUAAAGAAUGUAUGUCAGUGUU